rnacentral:rRNA from 2 species
UUAAGCGACUAAGCGUACACGGUGGAUGCCCUGGCAGUCAGAGGCGAUGAAGGACGUGCUAAUCUGCGAUAAGCGUCGGUGAGGUGAUAUGAACCGUUAUAACCGGCGAUUUCCGAAUGGGGAAACCCAGUGUGUUUCGACACACUAUCAUUAACUGAAUCCAUAGGUUAAUGAGGCGAACCGGGGGAACUGAAACAUCUAAGUACCCCGAGGAAAAGAAAUCAACCGAGAUUCCCCCAGUAGCGGCGAGCGAACGGGGAGGAGCCCAGAGCCUGAAUCAGUGUGUGUGUUAGUGGAAGCGUCUGGAAAGGCGCGCGAUACAGGGUGACAGCCCCGUACACAAAAAUGCACAUGCUGUGAGCUCGAUGAGUAGGGCGGGACACGUGGUAUCCUGUCUGAAUAUGGGGGGACCAUCCUCCAAGGCUAAAUACUCCUGACUGACCGAUAGUGAACCAGUACCGUGAGGGAAAGGCGAAAAGAACCCCGGCGAGGGGAGUGAAAAAGAACCUGAAACCGUGUACGUACAAGCAGUGGGAGCCUCUUAAUGGGGUGACUGCGUACCUUUUGUAUAAUGGGUCAGCGACUUAUAUUCUGUAGCAAGGUUAACCGAAUAGGGGAGCCGAAGGGAAACCGAGUCUUAACUGGGCGUUAAGUUGCAGGGUAUAGACCCGAAACCCGGUGAUCUAGCCAUGGGCAGGUUGAAGGUUGGGUAACACUAACUGGAGGACCGAACCGACUAAUGUUGAAAAAUUAGCGGAUGACUUGUGGCUGGGGGUGAAAGGCCAAUCAAACCGGGAGAUAGCUGGUUCUCCCCGAAAGCUAUUUAGGUAGCGCCUCGUGAAUUCAUCUCCGGGGGUAGAGCACUGUUUCGGCAAGGGGGUCAUCCCGACUUACCAACCCGAUGCAAACUGCGAAUACCGGAGAAUGUUAUCACGGGAGACACACGGCGGGUGCUAACGUCCGUCGUGAAGAGGGAAACAACCCAGACCGCCAGCUAAGGUCCCAAAGUCAUGGUUAAGUGGGAAACGAUGUGGGAAGGCCCAGACAGCCAGGAUGUUGGCUUAGAAGCAGCCAUCAUUUAAAGAAAGCGUAAUAGCUCACUGGUCGAGUCGGCCUGCGCGGAAGAUGUAACGGGGCUAAACCAUGCACCGAAGCUGCGGCAGCGACACUAUGUGUUGUUGGGUAGGGGAGCGUUCUGUAAGCCUGUGAAGGUGGCCUGUGAGGGUUGCUGGAGGUAUCAGAAGUGCGAAUGCUGACAUAAGUAACGAUAAAGCGGGUGAAAAGCCCGCUCGCCGGAAGACCAAGGGUUCCUGUCCAACGUUAAUCGGGGCAGGGUGAGUCGACCCCUAAGGCGAGGCCGAAAGGCGUAGUCGAUGGGAAACAGGUUAAUAUUCCUGUACUUGGUGUUACUGCGAAGGGGGGACGGAGAAGGCUAUGUUGGCCGGGCGACGGUUGUCCCGGUUUAAGCGUGUAGGCUGGUUUUCCAGGCAAAUCCGGAAAACCAAGGCUGAGGCGUGAUGACGAGGCACUACGGUGCUGAAGUGACAAAUGCCCUGCUUCCAGGAAAAGCCUCUAAGCAUCAGGUAACAUCAAAUCGUACCCCAAACCGACACAGGUGGUCAGGUAGAGAAUACCAAGGCGCUUGAGAGAACUCGGGUGAAGGAACUAGGCAAAAUGGUGCCGUAACUUCGGGAGAAGGCACGCUGAUAUGUAGGUGAAGCGACUUGCUCGUGGAGCUGAAAUCAGUCGAAGAUACCAGCUGGCUGCAACUGUUUAUUAAAAACACAGCACUGUGCAAACACGAAAGUGGACGUAUACGGUGUGACGCCUGCCCGGUGCCGGAAGGUUAAUUGAUGGGGUUAGCGGUAACGCGAAGCUCUUGAUCGAAGCCCCGGUAAACGGCGGCCGUAACUAUAACGGUCCUAAGGUAGCGAAAUUCCUUGUCGGGUAAGUUCCGACCUGCACGAAUGGCGUAAUGAUGGCCAGGCUGUCUCCACCCGAGACUCAGUGAAAUUGAACUCGCUGUGAAGAUGCAGUGUACCCGCGGCAAGACGGAAAGACCCCGUGAACCUUUACUAUAGCUUGACACUGAACAUUGAGCCUUGAUGUGUAGGAUAGGUGGGAGGCUUUGAAGUGUGGACGCCAGUCUGCAUGGAGCCGACCUUGAAAUACCACCCUUUAAUGUUUGAUGUUCUAACGUUGGCCCCUAAUCGGGGUUGCGGACAGUGUCUGGUGGGUAGUUUGACUGGGGCGGUCUCCUCCUAAAGAGUAACGGAGGAGCACGAAGGUUGGCUAAUCCUGGUCGGACAUCAGGAGGUUAGUGCAAUGGCAUAAGCCAGCUUGACUGCGAGCGUGACGGCGCGAGCAGGUGCGAAAGCAGGUCAUAGUGAUCCGGUGGUUCUGAAUGGAAGGGCCAUCGCUCAACGGAUAAAAGGUACUCCGGGGAUAACAGGCUGAUACCGCCCAAGAGUUCAUAUCGACGGCGGUGUUUGGCACCUCGAUGUCGGCUCAUCACAUCCUGGGGCUGAAGUAGGUCCCAAGGGUAUGGCUGUUCGCCAUUUAAAGUGGUACGCGAGCUGGGUUUAGAACGUCGUGAGACAGUUCGGUCCCUAUCUGCCGUGGGCGCUGGAGAACUGAGGGGGGCUGCUCCUAGUACGAGAGGACCGGAGUGGACGCAUCACUGGUGUUCGGGUUGUCAUGCCAAUGGCACUGCCCGGUAGCUAAAUGCGGAAGAGAUAAGUGCUGAAAGCAUCUAAGCACGAAACUUGCCCCGAGAUGAGUUCUCCCUGAGACUUAGAGUCUCCUGAAGGAACGUUGAAGACGACGACGUUGAUAGGCCGGGUGUGUAAGCGCAGCGAUGCGUUGAGCUAACCGGUACUAAUGAGCCGUGAGGCUUAACCUU